CAGAGGUGAUGGAGUGGGUUAGUGUAACAUUACAACACACCAGAGGUGAUGGAGUGGGUUAGUGUAACAUUACAACACAGAGGUGAUGGAGUGGGUUAGUGUAACAUUACAACACACCAGAGGUGAUGGAGUGGGUUAGUGUAACAUUACAACACACCAGAGGUGAUGGAGUUGGUUAGUGUAACAUUACAACACACCAGAGGUGAUGGAGUGGGUUAGUGUAACAUUACAACACAGAGGUGAUGGAGUGGGUUAGUGUAACAUUACAACACACCAGAGGUGAUGGAGUGGGUUAGUGUAACAUUACAACACACCAGAGGUGAUGGAGUGGGUUAGUGUAACAUUACAACACAGAGGUGAUGGAGGGGGUUAGUGUAACAUUACAACACACCAGAGGUGAUGGAGUGGGUUAGUGUAACAUUACAACACAGAGGUGAUGGAGUGGGUUAGUGUAACAUUACAACACAGAGGUGAUGGAGUGGGUUAGUGUAACAUUACAACACAGAGGUGAUGGAGUGGGUUAGUGUAACAUUACAACACAGAGGUGAUGGAGUGGGUUAGUGUAACAUUACAACACACCAGAGGUGAUGGAGUGGGUUAGUGUAACAUUACAACACAGAGGUGAUGGAGUGGGUUAGUGUAACAUUACAACACACCAGAGGUGAUGGAGUGGGUUAGUGUAACAUUACAACACACCAGAGGUGAUGGAGUGGGUUAGUGUAACAUUACAACACACCAGAGGUGAUGGAGUGGGUUAGUGUAACAUUACAACACACCAGAGGUGAUGGAGUGGGUUAGUGUAACAUUACAACACAGAGGUGAUGGAGUGGGUUAGUGUAACAUUACAACACACCAGAGGUGAUGGAGUGGGUUAGUGUAACAUUACAACACAGAGGUGAUGGAGUGGGUUAGUGUAACAUUACAACACACCAGAGGUGAUGGAGUGGGUUAGUGUAACAUUACAACACACCAGAGGUGAUGGAGUGGGUUAGUGUAACAUUACAACACACCAGAGGUGAUGGAGUGGGUUAGUGUAACAUUACAACACACCAGAGGUGAUGGAGUGGGUUAGUGUAACAUUACA